GCUGAAGUUACUCUAUGCUGACCUGGCAAAAACGAGGUUUCCUGACACUGCGGAAUUAAGCCAGCCUGGUCACAAAUAAUUCAUUGGCGUCCACACUUCUGAAACAUAUAUAGUGAGGUAACCACAAGAGAAGACUUCCAUGGUACUGACAGAUUGGAUUCCCCUAAAAUCUGACUUAGUUAGUUAUUGUUGGUCUUGGACAAUGGAAUUCCUUUUGGAAAAGAAAGGUUUCCUCAUCCAUCACUGCAAAAAACAAAGUUUCUCAGAAUAGAUCAAUAGAGCAUGACAGAAGUUCAGAAUUCCACUCCUGGCUAUGGAAGAUAAAGCUGACACUCCCGACUUGGAUAAGACACCAGCCCUCCGACUGAAAAGAACUAGAAAGGCUGAAUAGAAUAUUUAAAUACAUGUCUUUGAAGUAUCAUAGGGCUCCCAAGACAAGAAGACCUGAUGGAGCAAGA
rnacentral:lncRNA from 13 species